UCCCUCUUCUUCUCGAUCUCUCUCUUCAUUCCCUCUUCUUCUCGAUCUCCGGCCCUCUUCUUCUCGAUUGAAUUUUGGAGUAUGACACGCAUGGAACCUCUGAUGCAGGGCUUUAUGAACAGAGUUUAGAAUCUUUCAGAGUUUAAAUUAUGUAGAAGUAUAAUAGAUAAACAUUCAUACAUAUACAAAAUAUAUGUAUAUGUAUUUUCUGUACAUGUAUUUGUCAGUAAGAAAGAUCAAAUCUAUCUUCUUUAGCACUAAAUGAUGGAGAUGUGUUCCAAGAUAUGUUAUC
rnacentral:lncRNA from 1 species